AACUUUCGGCAAUGGAUCACUUGGUUCUGGCAUCGAUGAAGAACGCAGCGAAAUGCGAUACGUAAUGUGAAUUGCAGAAUUCAGUGAAUCAUCGAAUCUUUGAACGCACCUUGCGCCCCUUGGUAUUCCGAGGGGCACACCCGUUUGAGUGUCGUGAAAAUCUCAACCUCCUCGGUUUCUUUUGUGAUGCCGAUGGAUGCUUGGACUUUGGAGGGCUUUGCUGUACUUGAAAGGCCAGCUCCCCCCAAAUGGAUUACGGAGCUCACCUACGCAGAUCCUCACCAUGUGAGAAGCCGCUACCACGUCUCGGUCUUUGGCUCUGUGUCGUUCUGGGACCUGCCUCCAAUCGUAACCUGACGAGAAAAUGUUCUAGCACAUCUCAUACACGUAACCUUAAACUCAAAUCAGGUGAGACUACCCGCUGAACUUAAGCAUAUCAAUAAGCGGAGGCU
rnacentral:misc_RNA from 1 species